UGGCUGUGAACUUGGUCUAAGGCGGACUCUACUGGCAGCUCCGGGAUGUUACAGCCUCUGCCUCUGGUCCAGAGCAGCGGCGGUGCGGACAACCCGUGCGCUUUCGGUUUCCCUUCCGCCCAAAUAUCGCCUCCCAGACCCCCACCUCUCCCUGGGAAGGAUUUCCUUUCUCCCUCCUUGGGAUCCCUUGGGAUUCAGAAAACAGAAAAGAAAACGAAUUAGAGAGAUGCAUGCACCUAAGGACAAGCCUGCAGGAGCCCCGAAAUAGGGUAUCCUCUAUCAUGCCUCCAAAUCCCUCAAGAGGCGACGCCCCACACAGGCUGGCACUUUCCCUCCACUUCUCCCCUAGGUGUGCCUUUCCGUCCUGACUCCCCACCUUUCCAACUGGCCUGGGUCAUCUUUUGGUAAGGCAAAAUGGUCUGGGGCCUGCGAGGUACCUUUCCUCCCUAGAUGCAUUCAGCCCUACCCCACCGGGCUCCGAGGUCAGGGAUCCAGGGAUCGUUGCGACCAAAACCAGCCGCUGUGCUCCGAAGCCGCAAGGCUCAGCCCGGAUCCACUAGGGGAGAGGC
rnacentral:lncRNA from 1 species